rnacentral:rRNA from 1 species
GUAGGUGGCAAGCGUUGUCCGGAAUUAUUGGGCGUAAAGCGCGCGCAGGCGGUUCUUUAAGUCUGAGGUGAAAGCCCACGGCUCAACCGUGGAGGGUCAUUGGAAACUGGAGAACUUGAGUACAGAAGAGGAAAGCGGAAUUCCACGUGUAGCGGUGAAAUGCGUAGAGAUGUGGAGGAACACCAGUGGCGAAGGCGGCUUUCUGGUCUGUAACUGACGCUGAGGCGCGAAAGCGUGGGGAGCAAACAGGGAUUAGAUACCCUGGUAGUCCACGCCGUAAACGAUGAGUGCUAAGUGUUAGGGGGUUUCCCGCCCCUUAGUGCUGCAGCUAACGCAUUAAGCACUCCGCCUGGGGAGUACGGCCGCAAGGCUG